GACGAACGCUGGCGGCGUGCUUAACACAUGCAAGUCGAGCGGUAAGGCCCUUUUGGGGGUACACGAGCGGCGAACGGGUGAGUAACACGUGGGUGACCUGCCCUCAGCUCUGGGAUAAGCCUGGGAAACUGGGUCUAAUACUGGAUAUGACCUUUCCUCGCAUGGGGUUGGGUGGAAAGUUUUUCGGCUGGGGAUGGGCCCGCGGCCUAUCAGCUUGUUGGUGGGGUGAUGGCCUACCAAGGCGACGACGGGUAGCCGGCCUGAGAGGGCGACCGGCCACACUGGGACUGAGACACGGCCCAGACUCCUACGGGAGGCAGCAGUGGGGAAUAUUGCGCAAUGGGCGGAAGCCCGACGCAGCGACGCCGCGUGGGGGAUGACGGCCU
rnacentral:rRNA from 1 species